GAUGAACGCUAGCUACAGGCUUAACACAUGCAAGUCGAGGGGAAACGGCAUUGAGUGCUUGCACUCUUUGGACGUCGACCGGCGCACGGGUGAGUAACGCGUAUCCAACCUUCCCAUUACUGUGGGAUAACCUGCCGAAAGGCAGACUAAUACCGCAUAGUCUUCGAUGACGGCAUCAGAUUUGAAGUAAAGAUUUAUCGGUAAUGGAUGGGGAUGCGUCUGAUUAGCUUGUUGGCGGGGUAACGGCCCACCAAGGCGACGAUCAGUAGGGGUUCUGAGAGGAAGGUCCCCCACAUUGGAACUGAGACACGGUCCAAACUCCUACGGGAGGCAGCAGUGAGGAAUAUUGGUCAAUGGACGGAAGUCUGAACCAGCCAAGUAGCGUGCAGGAUGACGGCCCUAUGGGUUGUAAACUGCUUUUGUAUGGGGA
rnacentral:rRNA from 1 species